ACACAUGCAGUCGAGCGGUAGAGAGGUGCUUGCACCUCUUGAGAGCGGCGGACGGGUGAGUAAUACCUAGGAAUCUGCCUGGUAGUGGGGGAUAACGUUCGGAAACGGACGCUAAUACCGCAUACGUCCUACGGGAGAAAGCAGGGGCCCUUCGGGCCUUGCGCUAUCAGAUGAGCCUAGGUCGGAUUAGCUAGUUGGUGAGGUAAUGGCUCACCAAGGCUACGAUCCGUAACUGGUCUGAGAGGAUGAUCAGUCACACUGGAACUGAGACACGGUCCAGACUCCUACGGGAGGCAGCAGUGGGGAAUAUUGGACAAUGGGCGAAAGCCUGAUCCAGCCAUGCCGCGUGUGUGAAGAAGGUCUUCGGAUUGUAAAGCACUUUAAGUUGGGAGGAAGGGCAUUAACCUAAUACGUUAGUGCUUUGACGUUACCGACAGAAUAAGCACCGGCUAACUCUGUGCCAGCAGCCGCGGUAAUACAGAGGGUGCAAGCGUUAAUCGGAAUUACUGGGCGUAAAGCGCGCGUAGGUGGUUUGUUAAGUUGAAUGUGAAAUCCCCGGGCUCAACCUGGGAACUGCAUCCAAAACUGGCAAGCUAGAGUAUGGUAGAGGGGUGGGUUGGAAUUUCCUGUGUAGCGGUGAAAUGCGUAGAUAUAGGAAGGAACACCAGUGGCGAA
rnacentral:rRNA from 1 species